rnacentral:misc_RNA from 1 species
AAGUCGUAACAAGGUUUCCGUAGGUGAACCUGCGGAAGGAUCAUUAUGGGAUGUUUGAUAUGGAUGUAGUGUGAACGGGAUUGUGCCUGGGGUGGUCUGAGUUGUCUUUGAGGUUACUCGAGCGACCGGCGCCCCACUUGUUAACCACCUUACCAUCUCUUGACUUACCUGGGAUCACUCCCAUGGGAUAAAACAACUUUUAGCAACGGAUCUCUAGGCUCUC